UGCGGGUGUGGCGGAACUGGCAGACGCGCUAGAUUUAGGUUCUAGUGUCUUACGACGUGGGGGUUCGAGUCCCUUCACCCGCAU
rnacentral:tRNA from 4 species